AGCAUUUUAUCCUCUUUGGUAGAACACACUGCCAGUUCCUACAAGGACAGGGACAUCCCUCUCCAUUUUCAAAAAAAACCCUGAGGUUGACAGCUGUCAUAGCACCACUUAUAAAUUUUGCUGAUCCUAGCGCUUACCAGCCGUCUUGUAAUGUAAUGUAAUCAUAUAAUACAAUAUAAUAAUGUGUAUAUUGAGGAUCAUUGAUAACAUUAUGGUUCUAUAUGUGUUCAACACUGCUGCUGUGGAUAAUAAUUUUAAAUUGUGUCACCAGGAAAACCAGCAAAUGAAAUGUACACCUCACAUCCGGAUUGGGCACCAUCACUACACUUGGGCCACACUGAGAUAAAGGCCACACAGACUGCACGCUAUGAGAGACAGGAAAAGAGAAAACGGCAAAGGACUGACAGUACACCUGCGAGGAUGAGACAGCUAUUGAUGACCUUGUUCCACCCGUGGAGACACCAGCACCAGCUGAGGAUGGAGCUGAGCAGACACCGCUGACAGAAUGUGACUUCUGUCAGCGCCGGCGUGCUGAAAUCAACCGGCUGCUGGAGGAGAACAGGACCCUGAAACGUGAGCUUGGCCAGAGAAAAAUGGAUGAAGAUUUCCUGAAGGAAGACACCGUCAAAGUGAAAUACUACACUGGACUUCCACACCUUAAAGUCAACCACUUUAUUCUGGUGUUUAUGAAUUACUGUAUUAAAGAAAAGAUUGAUGCUCAA